rnacentral:rRNA from 1 species
UGCGCAGGCGGGCUUGUAAGUCAGUGGUGAAAUACUGCCGCUUAACGGUAGAACUGCCAUUGAUACUGCAAGUCUUGAAUAUGGUUGAGGUAGGCGGAAUGUGUCGUGUAGCGGUGAAAUGCAUAGAUAUGACACAGAACGCCAAUUGCGAAGGCAGCUUACUAAGCCAUUAUUGACGCUGAGGCACGAAAGCGUGGGGAGCGAACGGGAUUAGAUACCCUGGUAGUCC